CCACCUCCCCUUGGCCUGGGCCUGCCCGAAGCUCUUUCCCUGUUGCCCUGCUGUCCGGUCACCUAGCAGUGCAAUUGUGAAAGGGCAUUGGUGAGGCCUACCUCGGAGGAGCAUCGGG
rnacentral:precursor_RNA from 15 species